rnacentral:rRNA from 1 species
GACGAACGCUGGCGGCGUGCUUAACACAUGCAAGUCGAACGGAGUGGCGAACGGGUGAGUAACACGUGGGUGAUCUGCCUUGCACUUCGGGAUAAGCUUGGGAAACUGGGUCCAAUACCGGAUAGUGCAAGAUGAGCUCGCGGCCUAUCAGCUUGUUGGUGGGGUAAUGGCCUACCAAGGCGUCGAAGGGUAGCCGGCCUGGGAGGGUGUACGGCCACAAUGGGACUGAGGUAGGGCCCAGAGUGCUACGGGGGGCAGCAGUCGGGAAUAUUGCACAAUGGGGCGAAGCCAGGUGCAUCGACGCCGCGGGGGGGAAGAAGGCCUUCGGGUUAUAAACUCCUGUCGACAGGGACGCGGUACCUGUAUAAGAAGCACCGGCUAACUACGUGCCAGCAGCCGCGGUAAUAC